rnacentral:rRNA from 1 species
UACAGAGGGGGCAAGCGUUGUUCGGAAUUACUGGGCGUAAAGGGCUCGUAGGCGGCCAACUAAGUCGGAUGUGAAAUCCCCAGGCUCAACCUGGGAACUGCAUCCGAUACUGGAUGGCUUGAAUUCGGGAGAGGGAUGCAGAAUUCCAGGUGUAGCGGUGAAAUGCGUAGAUAUCUGGAGGAAUACCGGUGGCGAAGGCGGCAUCCUGGACCGACAUUGACGCUGAGGAGCGAAAGCUAGGGGAGCAAACGGG